rnacentral:rRNA from 1 species
UACGUAGGGUGCGAGCGUUAAUCGGAAUUACUGGGCGUAAAGCGUGCGUAGGCGGCGCGGUAAGUCGGGUGUGAAAUCUCGGAGCUUAACUCCGAAACUGCAUUCGAUACUGCCGUGCUUGAGGACUGGAGAGGAGACUGGAAUUUACGGUGUAGCGGUGAAAUGCGUAGAUAUCGUAAGGAAGACCAGUGGCGAAGGCGGGUCUCUGGACAGUUCCUGACGCUGAGGCACGAAGGUCAGGGGAGCAAACGGG